GUGGGGAAUAUUGGACAAUGGGGGGAACCCCGAUCCAGCCAUGCCGCGUGUGUGAAGAAGGCCUUUUGGUUGUAAAGCACUUUAAGCGAGGAGGAGGCUACCGAGAUUAAUACUCUUGGAUAGUGGACGUUACUCGCAGAAUAAGCACCGGCUAACUCUGUGCCAGCAGCCGCGGUAAUACAGAGGGUGCAAGCGUUAAUCGGAUUUACUGGGCGUAAAGCGCGCGUAGGUGGCCAAUUAAGUCAAAUGUGAAAUCCCCGAGCUUAACUUGGGAAUAGCAUUCGAUACUGGUUGGCUAGAGUAUGGGAGAGGAUGGUAGAAUUCCAGGUGUAGCGGUGAAAUGCGUAGAGAUCUGGAGGAAUACCGAUGGCGAAGGCAGCCAUCUGGCCUAAUACUGACACUGAGGUGCGAAAGCAUGGGGAGCAAACAGGAUUAGAAACCCGGGUAGUCC
rnacentral:rRNA from 1 species